UACGGAGGGUGCAAACGUUGCUCGGAAUCAUUGGGCGUAAAGCGCGUGUAGGCGGCUCGGAAAGUCGGAUGUGAAAGCCCUGGGCUUAACCUAGGAAGUGCAUUCGAAACUCUCGAGCUUGAGUUCUGGAGAGGAAGGCGGAAUUCUCGGUGUAGAGGUGAAAUUCGUAGAUAUCGAGAGGAACACCGGUGGCGAAGGCGGCCUUCUGGACAGUGACUGACGCUGAGACGCGAAAGCGUGGGGAGCAAACAGG
rnacentral:rRNA from 1 species